CUGGGCGGAUUAGUGGCGAACGGGUGAGUAAUACGUGAGUAACCUGCCCUUGACUCUGGGAUAAGCCUGGGAAACUGGGUCUAAUACUGGAUACUACCGUCCACCGCAUGGUGGGUGGUGGAAAGGGUUUUACUGGUUUUGGAUGGGCUCACGGCCUAUCAGCUUGUUGGUGGGGUAAUGGCUCACCAAGGCGACGACGGGUAGCCGGCCUGAGAGGGUGACCGGCCACACUGGGACUGAGACACGGCCCAGACUCCUACGGGAGGCAGCAGUGGGGAAUAUUGCACAAUGGGCGGAAGCCUGAUGCAGCGACGCCGCGUGAGGGAUGACGGCCUUCGGGUUGUAAACCUCUUUCAGUAGGGAAGAAGCGAGAGUGACGGUACCUGCAGAAGAAGCGCCGGCUAACUACGUGCCAGCAGCCGCGGUAAUACGUAGGGCGCAAGCGUUGUCCGGAAUUAUUGGGCGUAAAGAGCUCGUAGGCGGUUUGUCGCGUCUGCUGUGAAAGCCCGGGGCUCAACCCCGGGUCUGCAGUGGGUACGGGCAGACUAGAGUGCAGUAGGGGAGACUGGAAUUCCUGGUGUAGCGGUGAAAUGCGCAGAUAUCAGGAGGAACACCGAUGGCGAAGGCAGGUCUCUGGGCUGUUACUGACGCUGAGGAGCGAAAGCAUGGGGAGCGAACAGGAUUAGAUACCCUGGUAGUCCAUGCCGUAAACGUUGGGC
rnacentral:rRNA from 1 species